rnacentral:rRNA from 1 species
UACGUAGGGGGCUAGCGUUGUCCGGAAUCAUUGGGCGUAAAGAGCGUGUAGGCGGCCCGGUAAGUCCGCUGUGAAAGUCAAAGGCUCAACCUUUGAAAGCCGGUGGAUACUGUGGGACUAGAGUACGGAAGAGGCGAGUGGAAUUCCUGGCGUAGCGGUGGAAUGCGCAGAUAUCAGGAGGAACACCAAUAGCGAAGGCAGCUCGCUGGGACGUUACUGACACUGAGGCGCGAAAGCGUGGGGAGCGAACAGG